rnacentral:rRNA from 1 species
GACGAACGCUGGCGGCGUGCCUAAUACAUGCAAGUAGGACGCAGUUGCGAACGGGUGAGUAACGCGUAGGUAACUACCUAUUAGAGGGGGAUAACUAUUGGCAACGCUAGCUAAUACCGCAUACUGGUAGAUGGAACUGCGUUGUAUUAGCUAGUAGGUAGGGUAAUGGCCUCCCUAGGCAACGAUCAAUAUCCUACAUGUGAUGGUGAUCGGCCACACUGGGACUGAGACACGGCCCAGACUCCUACGGGAGGCAGCAGUAGGGAAUCUUCGGCAAUGGGGGGAACCCUGAUCCAGCCAUGCCGCGUGUGUGAAGAAGGUCUUCGGAGUGUAAAGCACUUUAAGUUGGGAGGCGUUACCAACAGAAUAAGCACCGGCUAACUUCGUGCCAGCCGCCGCGGUAAUUC